UAGGGAAUCUUCGGCAAUGGGGGGAACCCUGACCGAGCAACGCCGCGUGAGUGAAGAAGGUUUUCGGAUCGUAAAGCUCUGUUGUUAAGGAAGAACGAGUGUGAGAAUGGAAAGUUCAUACUGUGACGGUACUUAACCAGAAAGGGACGGCUAACUACGUGCCAGCAGCCGCGGUAAUACGUAGGUCCCGAGCGUUGUCCGGAUUUAUUGGGCAUAAAGCGAGCGCAGGCGGUUAGAUAAGUCUGAAGUUAAAGGCAGUGGCUCAACCAUUGUAGGCUUUGGAAACUGUUUAACUUGAGUGCAGAAGGGGAGAGUGGAAUUCCAUGUGUAGCGGUGAAAUGCGUAGAUAUAUGGAGGAACACCGGUGGCGAAAGCGGCUCUCUGGUCUGUAACUGACGCUGAGGCUCGAAAGCGUGGGGAGCGAACAGG
rnacentral:rRNA from 1 species